UACGAAGGGGGCUAGCGUUGUUCGGAAUUAUUGGGCGUAAAGAGCUCGUAGGCGGCUUGUCACGUCGAUUGUGAAAGCCCGAGGCUUAACCUCGGGUCUGCAGUCGAUACGGGCUAGCUAGAGUGUGGUAGGGGAGAUCGGAAUUCCUGGUGUAGCGGUGAAAUGCGCAGAUAUCAGGAGGAACACCGGUGGCGAAGGCGGAUCUCUGGGCCAUUACUGACGCUGAGGAGCGAAAGCGUGGGGAGCGAACAGG
rnacentral:rRNA from 1 species